AGUGAACGCUGGCGGUAGGCCUAACACAUGCAAGUCGAACGGCAGCACAGUAAGAGCUUGCUCUUACGGGUGGCGAGUGGCGGACGAGUGAGGAAUACAUCGGAAUCUACUUUUUCGUGGGGGAUAACGUAGGGAAACUUACGCUAAUACCGCAUACGACCUACGGGUGAAAGCAGGGGAUCUUCGGACCUUGCGCGAUUGAAUGAGCCGAUGUCGGAUUAGCUAGUUGGCGGGGUAAAGGCCCACCAAGGCGACGAUCCGUAGCUGGUCUGAGAGGAUGAUCAGCCACACUGGAACUGAGACACGGUCCAGACUCCUACGGGGGGCAGCAGUGGGGAAUAUUGGACAAUGGGCGCAAGCCUGAUCCGGCCAUACCGCGUGGGUGAAGAAGGCCUUCGGGUUGUAAAGCCCUUUUGUUGGGAAAGAAAAGCAGCAGGUUAAUACCCCGCUGUUCUGACGGUACCCAAAGAAUAAGCACCGGCUAACUUCGUG
rnacentral:rRNA from 1 species